rnacentral:lncRNA from 1 species
UGGAAAUGCAGAAAUCACCCACCUUCUGCGUUGAUCUCUGCGGGAGCUGUAGACUGGAGCUCUUCCUAUUCGGCCAUCUUGCCAGCCACCCGUACUGUACUUUGGAAGAAAGUCACUACAUAUAGCCAGCACUUUAAAAGAAUGGAGAAUUAUGGUCCCUAUCCUUAAGGCAAAUACAUUGGAGACUUCUCAACUUUCUGCUUCUGAUGAUCUCAACUUGUGGUAUGGCAAAAGGAGAGCAAAAUGUUCACCCAGGAACGAGAAGUCCUGGCAGCUGAGUCAUGAUCCCCCAGGAGCCAUUAAGAAGUUAAUCUUCAGUCACUUCCAUCCAAACAGAAGAAAACCCAUGAAGGAUGAGAACUAUGGGUCCUGAGAAUGACAGGUAUUGAAGACAGGAUUUAUCUUCUCUACUUCUUCUUUUAGAAGCAGAUCAAGAAACUGGCGAUUGAAGAGUAACUGAAAGAAACGCAAUCUGAUCUUACUAGCAGUGAAAGAGCGAGUCUCCCUCUGAUGCCGAGCAGAAGCUAGACUGUACUGCUGCCAUCUCAGCUCACUGCAACCUCCCUGCCUGAUUCUCCUGCCUCAGCCUGCUGAGUGCCUGCAAUUGCAGGCGCGCCGCCACGCCUGACUGGUUUUCGUAUUUUUUUGGUGGAGACGGGGAUUCGCUGUGUUGGCCGGGCUGGUCUCCAGCUCCUAACCGCGAGUGAUCCACCAGCCUCGGCCUCCUGAGGUGCCGGGAUUGCAGACGGAGUCUGGUUCACUCAGUGCUCAAUGGCGCCCAGACUGGAGUGCAGUGGCGUGAUCUCAGCUCGCUACAACCUCCACCUCCCAGCCGCCUCCCUUGGCCUCCCAAAGUGCAGAGAUUGCAGCCUCUGCCCGGCCGCCACCCCGCCUGGGAAGUGAGGAGCGUCUCUGCCUGGCCGCCCAUUGUCUGGGAUGUGAGGAGCCCCUCUGCCUGGCUGCCCAGUCUGGAAAGUGAGGAGUGUCUCUGCCUGGCCGCCAUCCCAUCUAGGAAGUGAGGAGCGCCUCUUCCCGGCCGCCAUCCCAUCUAGGAAGUGAGGAGCCUCUCUGCCCAGCCGCCCAUCGUCUGAGAUGUGGGGAGCGCCUCUGCCCCGCCGCCCCGUCUGGGAUGUGAGGAGCGCCUCUACCCCGCCGCGACCCCGUCUGGGAGGUGAGGAGCGUCUCUGCCCGGCGGCCCCGUCUGGGAAGUGAGGAGACCCUCCGCCCGGCAGCCGCCCCAUCUGAGAAGUGAGGAGCCCCUCUGCCCAGCAGCCACCCUGUCUGGGAAGUGAGGAGCGUCUCUGCCCAGCAGCCACCCCGUCUGGGAGGGAGGUGGGGGGUCAGCCCCCCGCCCGGCCAGCCGCCCCGUCCGGGAGGUGAGGGGCGCCUCUGCCCGGCGGCCCCUACUGGGAAGUGAGGAGCCCCUCUGCCCGGCCAGCCGCCCCGUCUGGGAAGUGAGGAGCGUCUCCGCCCAGCAGCCACCCCGUCCGGGAGGGAGGUGGGGGGAUCAGCCCCCCGCCCGGCCAGCCGCCCAGUCCGGGAGGGAGGUGGGGGGGUCAGCCCCCCGCCCGGCCAGCCGCCCCGUCCGGGAGGUGAGGGGUGCCUCUGCCCGGCCGCCCCUACUGGGAAGUGAGGAGCCCCUCUGCCCGGCCAGCCGCCCGGUCCGGGAGGGAGGUGGGGGGGUCAGCCCCCUGCCUGGCAAGCCGCCCCGUCUGGGAGGGAGGUGGGGGGAUCAGCCCCCCGCCGGGCCAGCCACCCCGUCCGGGAGGUGAGGGGUGCCUCUGCCCGGCCGCCCCUACUGGGAAGUGAGGAGCCCCUCUGCCCGGCCAGCCGCCCCAUCCGGGAGUGAGGUGGGGGGGUCAGCCCCCUGCCCGGCCAGCCGCCCCGUCCGGGAGGUGAGGGGCGCCUCUGCCCGGCCGCCCCUACUGGGAAGUGAGGAGCCCCUCUGCCCGGCCACCACCCCGUCUGGGAGGUGUACCCAACAGCUCAUUGAGAACGGGCCAUGAUGACAAUGGCGGUUUUGUGGAAUAGAAAGCGGGGAAAGGUGGGGAAAAGAUUGAGAAAUCGGAUGGUUGCCGUGUCUGUGUAGAAAGAGGUAGACAUGGGAGACUUUUCAUUUUGUUCUGUACUAAGAAAAAUUCUUAUCCUGUUGAUCUGUGACCUUACCCCCAACCCCGUGCUCUCUGAAACAUGUGCUGUGUCCACUCAGGGCUAAAUGGAUUAAGGGCGGUGCAAGAUGUGCUUUGUUAAACAGAUGCUUGAAGGCAGCAUGCUCGUUGAGAGUCAUCACCACUCCCUAAUCUCAAGUAACCAGGGACACAAACACUGUGGAAGGCCGCAGGGUCCUCUGCCUAGGAAAACCAGAGACCUUUGUUCACUUGUUUAUCUGCUGACCUUCCCUCCACUAUUGUCCUAUGACCCUGCCAAAUCCCCCUCUGCGAGAAACACCCAAGAAUGAUCAAUAAAAAAAUAAAAUAAAAUAAAAUAAAAUAAAAUAAAUAAAGUUUCAUGCGCAUCCGUGUGAAGAGACCACCAAACAGGCUUUGUGUGAGCAGCAUGGCUGUUUAUUUCACCUGGGUGCAGGCGGGCUGAGUCCGAAAAGAGAGUCAGCCAAGGG